UACGUAGGGGGCUAGCGUUGUCCGGAUUUAUUGGGCGUAAGGAGCGUGUAGGCGGCCGGGUAAGUCCGGUGUGAAGACUCGAGGCUUAACCUCGAGAUGUCAUCGGAAACUAUUCGGCUAGAGUCCGGAAGAGGAGAGUGGAAUUCCUGGUGUAGCGGUGAAAUGCGCAGAUAUCAGGAAGAACACCUAUGGCGAAAGCAGCUCUCUGGGACGGUACUGACGCUGAGACGCGAAAGCGUGGGGAGCGAACAGGAUUAGAAACCCUAGUAGU
rnacentral:rRNA from 1 species